ensembl:lincRNA
AACAUUCUGUUGUGCAAAUCAUAGAGCCAGACACAUGAAAGUCAACAUGAAGAGGAAAGAUUCCAGAUGCCAGAAAGGAGAAGUCUUUUCUCAAAAGAUCUCCAGAUGGCGGAAUUUCCUUAGGACAGCAGCAACACCAACAAAGUACAGACACAAGCGUGACUGUUCUCUGCACCACAGGACACGCAUCCUGCGAGGGGUGAUUUGCGGUUCAAACCAUGUGCGUGUUAUGGCAGAGUUCUACAGAUCAGGAUCCAAGGUCUCUAAACCAGCAGAGUGGAAAGCUGUUGGACAAGAAAGGAAUCAUUUCAUCAGUAAUUCUGAAAGGAAAAUGACCACCUUCUCCUGAUUUCCAAAUCCACGUAGCCUGAGGAUAGAGAAGAGACCCCCAUAAAUGAACUCUGACUCAAAGCACAAUCUACAUGCAUCAAGACAUAAAUCUAUCUUUUAGACUGUUACAAAGUCAGCUGGUUCAAUAAAGAAAGGCACCGUUACCGUUUAGAUCUUAAAAUGUUCCCCCAAAGUUUUGUUUGCAGGUGGGUCCUGGUUGCAAGUUGCAGAUGAUGGGGGCUGUGACCUGGAAAUGUGUAUUCUUGCGCCUUGACCUUGUCCCUUGCUCCUCCUCCAUGCUGGUUUCUGCAUUGGAGCCACGUGACUAUGUGUAAAACCUGAGCCAAAAUAAACCUACCCACCGUUCAGUUAUGGGUGUGAGGUAUUCUGUACCAGUGACAAGAAAGCGAUGGCAGCAGAACCAGAACACUGACCAGGAACGGUGAUCUGUGAAUGACAUCAUGGUGGUAGGGUUCUGUGGUCACAAGGACGGUGGUGUUGUCACAAGCACUCUGAACCGAAUAGGAAGAUCCAGACCCAGAAUGUGUCUUUCUUCCACUGAGGACCACUGCACCUUCCAUGGAGGAGGAGGACUAACUAAUCAGCGGUCUGUCAGGUCACUAACAAGGCUCCUCCAGGGAACUCCGUGGUAGAGGCAGAGCAGGAUCUCCCUGUGUGUCUCUUUGAUUUGCGGAUUAGGCAUAACAGAAUAGCAUGAGAAAGGGUCCCUGCUCCUUCUGACACUUCCAUUCACACACCUCUCUAGAUUCCCUUGUUGCUAAUCUAUUUCAUCAGAAAGCUCCCAGGAAAAGUAUUGGUUUUUUCUAUUUCUCACCCUAGACCAACCAGACAGCCAACAGUAUCACUUUAAGUGUCAACUACUGGACAUAUUUUUAUUUACCACUGUCUUCCAGAGCUACUCCUCAGUAGUCCUGUAAGACUCCCAGCUGUCCACUUUCCAGUUCCACCAGAACAUCAUGCAUCUGUGUUUGUGCAUCAGGCUCCAGUUUGCUUUUUCCUUGGAAAACCGGAAGGAACUCUUCAGGGGACCACAGGCAAGGAUGGAGAAGGGAGAGGCAGGGCAGCCCGUUUUAGGGCUGAAGGGUUUUGAAUCAUACUACAAACUUUGACAAUGUAAUUGUACCCUCUAGAAGAGCACCAAAUUGAUCUGCUGACAGUGCACACAUGUACCUUACAUAUACGUGAGUAUAGUCAGCUGAAAAAUGGCUCCUCCAAAGAUAUUCACGUCCUAAUCCUUAACCUGUGAACAUGACCUUACAUGGUCUGCACUAUCCUUACAUGAAAAAUCAAAGGUGAUUUAAGUUAAAGAUCAAGAAAUGGGAAGACUGCCUGGGAUUACUCUGGUAGGCGUUAAAUGUAACUGUAAGUGUCCUUAACAGGGAAAUGUGGAGAUCUGACACAAAGGAGGCAGUGGGCGAUUUGAAGAUCCUAGCCUUAAGGGCUGGAGCGAUGUAGCUUCAAGCCAAAGAACACCCAUAGCAGCCAGAAACUGAAAAGCACAAGAUAUAAUUACUCUCUGGAGCUUCUGGAGGGCCCAUACUCCCUGACACUUUUCAGUAAUACUUAAAUAUCUUGCUACCAAUACUGUAAAAGAAUAAAUUUCUGUUAUUUUCAACCAGCAAAUUAGUGUUAACACAGCUCUAGGAAACUAAUGUGGGGAUUGAGAGAAACCACAGUACAGGAUGGGAAAUUAAACUCCAUGGCCACCUCAGGGCUUACUAGCUGUGUAGUCCCAGGAGACUCCCCUGCAUCAAAAGCAUCAAAAGAGAAACUGGUAUGUUUAUACACUGGAGUACUACUCAGCUAUAAAUAAGGAUUGCAUCAAGGCUUUUACAAGUAAAUGCAUGCGACUUGAGACCAUACUCAAAAGUGAAAUAAAUCAAACUCACCGUAUGGCAAACACUGUAGUGCCUCCCUAGUGUAAGAAAGUGAAAAAGCAAGAUCCAAAAUCGACAAUAAAUAAUAAUUGUGUAAGAGUAAAUAACUGCUCAAAGGGGAAAAGUAACUGGGAUAGGGAAAAAGAGAAAAGAAGGAAGGGAAAAAGAAAUAGAAAUAAAUGUGUACACAUAAGACAGCUAAGAUGACUAUGCUACUCUACAAAUUUAGUUCUUGGAAAAGAACAGUUGCUACUUCCUGGUUUGAUCAAUUUUGUAUGUCUAUACCUGGUAACCUGAGCAAUUCUUUUGAAGGUAACAAUACACAAGAUAACAAGCCUUGUUAAAAUUCCUAACACCUUGUUUUGAAAGCCUAUAUUGUUAUUAUUUGGGUUUGUUGUUUGCCUCUUUUGCUUUUUUCCUGUAUUUUUUCUCUUUUAAAUAAAAUAAAUACAUCUAUAAUAAAUAAAGAGCGGCUGCCACUAGCUGAGGCCAGCACGGUUGCACUCCGACACCUCGGAGCCCGGCGGGGCACCAGGUUGCACACACCCCGACGUGGGGCAGCCAAGUCGAGGCCAGCUGCUCCUUCGGGCUGGGGAGGCGCGAUCCGAAGAGAGCCUGGGAUUGCUGCGGAAUCCUCCAUUCCUCGGCCACGCGAGUUCCCCCGGGUUUACGACAAAGCAGCUCAGGGCUUGGAGAGCCACGUUCAGGGGUCUCGGCCCGCUGCGGACGACUAGAGGCCUGGGGCCACGGGACCCCCUCUACGGCAGCACCGGGCUCGCCACGACUCUGUCCCACCUCUCGGCCACAGGCUCAGCCCCGGUGAGGGCAGGAAGAACAGCGUCGUUAUCCGCAUAAAGCCGGGAUUCGCUGACAUCCAUUCCUUGCACAGUAUCUAUGGAGCAACGAACAAGCGCCCUCAGGAGCCCAGCCCCUGCG